UACGGGGGGGGCAAGCGUUGUUCGGAAUUACUGGGCGUAAAGGGCGCGUAGGCGGCCAACUAAGUCAGACGUGAAAUCCCUCGGCUCAACCGGGGAACUGCGUCUGAUACUGGAUGGCUUGAGUUUGGGAGAGGGACGCGGAAUUCCAGGUGUAGCGGUGAAAUGCGUAGAUAUCUGGAGGAACACCGGUGGCGAAGGCGGCAUCCUGGACCGUUACUGACGCUGAGGAGCGAAAGCCAGGGGAGCAAACGGG
rnacentral:rRNA from 1 species